AGGAAAGAAAUCCAAAGGAGGAAGAACAAAAAAGAAGCCAAGAAGAGUGACCAGAUUGGAAGUUGCCAAAAACAAAGAAGAAACCUAAAAGAAAUAGCCCCUAGUGUAAGAAAUCGGGCUGUAAAUUGUGCUAUUGAAGGGAAAACCACCAAGCUUUGUCGGAAGUAUCAAGUGUUUCAGGCUCCAGGUUCCAGCACGAGCAAGGAUUGAGAGGUGGGGCUUGGCUGAUUUAGAGAUGGAUUUGUUUGUGUACCCGUGUAACCCCA